rnacentral:rRNA from 1 species
UCAAGUGACUAAGUGCAUGUGGCGGAUGCCUUGGCGAUCACAGGCGAAGAAAGACGCGGCAGCCUGCGAAAAGCUGCGGGGAGCUGGCAAACGAGCUUUGAUCCGCAGAUAUCUGAAUGGGGGAACCCACACCGCAAGGUGUAUCCGUAGCUGAAUACAUAGGUUACGGAGGCGAACGAGGAGAACUGAAACAUCUAAGUAUCCUCAGGAAAAGAAAUCAACCGAGAUUCCGGCAGUAGCGGCGAGCGAACCCGGAGGAGCCUAGCUUUUGAUAGUACGAACUUUAGCCGAAAGGUCCUGGAAAGGCCUGCUAUAGUGGGUGAUAGCCCCGUAGGCGAAAGAGUUGGUACGGUACUAAGGAAGCGAGAAGUAGAGCGGGACACGUGGAAUCCUGUUCGAAGACGGGGGGACCAUCCUCCAAGGCUAAAUACUCGUGAUCGACCGAUAGUGAACCAGUACCGUGAGGGAAAGGCGAAAAGAACCCCGGGAGGGGAGUGAAAUAGAACCUGAAACCGCAUGCAUACAAACAGUAGGAGCCUUUACGGAGGUGACUGCGUACCUUUUGCAUAAUGGGUCAGCGACUUACAUUCUGUGGCGAGCUUAACCGAAUAGGGGAGGCGCAGCGAAAGCGAGUUCGAAAUGAGCGUCCAGUCGCAGGGUGUAGACCCGAAACCAGAUGAGCUAUCCAUGGCCAGGUUGAAGGUGUGGUAACACACACUGGAGGACCGAACCGACUAGUGUUGCAAAAUUAGCGGAUGAGCUGUGGAUAGGGGUGAAAGGCCAAACAAAUCUGGAGAUAGCUGGUUCUCCCCGAAAACUAUUGAGGUAGUGCCUCGUGUGUCGCUCCAGGGGGUAGAGCACUGUUUUGGCUAGGGGGACAUGGAGUCUUACCAAACCAAGGCAAACUCCGAAUACCUGGAAGCGUGAGCACGGGAGACAGAGCACCGGGUGCUAACGUCCGGACUCAAAAGGGAAACAACCCAGACCGCCGGCUAAGGUCCCAAAUAACAGCUAAGUGGAAAACGAAGUGGAAAGGCCGUGACAACCAGGAAGUUGGCUUAGAAGCAGCCAUCCUUCAAAGAAAGCGUAAUAGCUCACUGGUCGAGUCCUUCUGCGCGGAAGAUGUAACGGGGCUAAGCUGUUAACCGAAGCCGCGGAUGCACUGGUAAUCCAGUGCGUGGUAGGGGAGCGUUCUGUAAGUCUGCGAAGGCGGUUCGAGAGGACUGCUGGAGAUAUCAGAAGUGCGAAUGCUGACAUGAGUAACGUUAAAGCAGGUGAAAAGCCUGCUCGCCGUAAGCCCAAGGAUUCCUGCUCUACGUUCAUCGGAGCAGGGUGAGUCGGCUCCUAAGGUCAGGCCGAAAGGCGUAGCCGAUGGGAAUCAGGUUAAUAUUCCUGAACCUGCGUCAGAUGCGAUGGGGGGACGGAGCAUGAAAGAUCAUCCGGGUGUUGGAAGUCCCGGUUGACGAGCGUAGGAGGUCUGCAGGCAAAUCCGCAGACGAUUCUCCAAGGCAAAGACACGUGCCGCCACGGCGGCGAAGUGAUCGGAAGUGCUUCCAAGAAAAGCCUCUAAGCCCCAGUCUGACGCGGACCGUACCGCAAACCGACACUGGUGGGCGAGCUGAAUAUGCUCAGGCGCUUGAGAGAACUCGGGAGAAGGAACUCGGCAAAUUGACACCGUAACUUCGGAAGAAGGUGUGCCGUAGUAGCGUGAGAGGAGAGACUCCUCGAGCGUGAAUCGGUCUCAGAGAAUAGGUGGCUGCGACUGUUUAUUAAAAACACAGCACUCUGCAAAGUCGAAAGACGACGUAUAGGGUGUGAUGCCUGCCCGGUGCUGGAAGAUUAAUUGAUGGGGUGAGAGCCCUUGAUCGAAGUCCCAGUAAACGGCGGCCGUAACUAUAACGGUCCUAAGGUAGCGAAAUUCCUUGUC